rnacentral:rRNA from 1 species
UGGGGAAUAUUGCACAAUGGGGAAAGCCCUGAUGCAGCGACGCCGCGUGAGUGAAGAAGUAUUUCGGUAUGUAAAGCUCUAUCAGCAGGGAAGAAAAUGACGGUACCUGAAUAAGAAGCCCCGGCUAACUACGUGCCAGCAGCCGCGGUAAUACGUAGGGGGCGAAGCGUUAUCCGGGAAAUUACUGGGUGUAAAGGGUGCGUAGGUGGUGCGGCAAGUCAGAAGUGAAAGCCCGGGGCUCAACUCCGGGACUGCUUUUGAAACUGUCGGACUGGAGUGCAGGAGAGGUAAGCGGAAUUCCUAGUGUAGCGGUGAAAUGCGUAGAUAUUAGGAGGAACACCAGUGGCGAAGGCGGCUUACUGGACGGUAACUGACGUUGAGGCUCGAAAGCGUGGGGAGCAAACAGGAUUAGAUACCC